rnacentral:rRNA from 1 species
UACGUAGGGUGCGAGCGUUGCUCGGAAUCACUGGGCGUAAAGCGCACGUAGGCGGAUUGUUAAGUCGGGGGUGAAAUCCUGGAGCUCAACUCCAGAACUGCCUUCGAUACUGACGAUCUCGAGUCCGGGAGAGGUGAGUGGAACUCCGAGUGUAGAGGUGAAAAUUCGUAGAUAUUCGGAAGAACACCAGUGGCGAAGGCGGCUCACUGGCCCGGUACUGACGCUGAGGUGCGAAAGCGUGGGGAGCAACAGGG